CACAAGGUGGCAGGGCAUCUCCGCUCCUGCGAACUCACAAUGGACUUUUUGGUUGCCUUCUGUAAGAGCAGCCUGCAGUCAGUCAGCAGCCUUCUGUGCAGACGGCUGAAGAAGCCUCAGUGCUGUGGAGGACAGAGGAAGUGAGCUGAUCACAGAAGCAUCCUGUCUGGCUGGAGGCCACAGUCCAGAGGGAGAGCAAUGAAGACACUGACUGGGUCUUUGUUCCUGUUCUUCUGGCUGCAGCUGAACUGUGUGAGCAGAGGAGAGCAGGUGGAGCAGCGCCCAUCUCACCUGAGUGUCCGGGAGGGAGACAGUGCCAUUAUCAUCUGCACCUACACAGACCCUAACAAUUAUUACUUCUACUGGUACAAGAAAGAGCUGGGGGCAGGUCUCCAGUUGCUUAUGAGUGUUCUUUCAAGUGUGGACAGAAAAGAAGGACAAGGACUCAUUGUCCUACUGAACAAGAAAGACAAACAUUUAUCUCUGAACAUCACAGCUGCCCAUCUUGGGGACUCAGCCAUGUACUUCUGUGCAGUUAGUGCACAGUGCUCCCCAGGCACCUGCUGCCCGCGCACAAACCUGAGCCCCAAAAGACAUACUUUCCAACCUUUAAGAGUCAAGCAAUGGAAAUUCCACAACCCUCACAGUAGGGGCACCUCUGACCCUGAACCACCCUUAUAAGACUCCUUAUUUGGAUGCUCAGCUACUCCUGAGAAGCUCUACAGACAAGAGGACCGAGCACGAAGGGUUCCACGCCGCUCUCCAUAAGAGCAGCCGCUCCUUCCGUCUGCAGAAGCCCUCAGCACAGCUGUCAGACUCUGACCUGUACUACUGUGCUGUGGAGACACAGUGAGGGAGACGGCAGGGGAAGCUAGCAUAAGCCACAGCUGCAGGAGGGCUGGUGGAAGUUGCCCUGUGAAAAGGUUGUGCGUGUCUUCUCUCAGUAUGAUUGCCUUGGCUUUCCCAAGAACAGCACCAAAUCUCAGGUUAAAUUCCAACACUGGGAAGGUCAUGAGUUAAUGACUUCGAAGCAGCAUAAGGUGGAACACAGUGUUUGAGAGAAGCCAGCACUGAAAUCCACAAACUCAGUGCUCAGCCAGGAAAGCUGAUCAUCAGGACAUCUCACAGCAAGCAUGUCCAGGGAAAGCCUGUUUGCAAUUAAUCUUCACCAAGACAUAGUAACAAAACUAGCUCUGAAAACUUCCACAAAUUUUGUGUUCCUCUUGCACUCAGCUGUGACCCCAAUAAAGACAUAAUCUUUUCUUUAUGAGUCCACUUCAGCCUUUACGACUGAGACUCUGCACUUCCUUGGUUCCUGUUGCAGUGCUCAGCCUAACUCCCACCAACCUUCACUUCGUGAGGCUCUUAAGAGGCUGAGAUGUCAGAAGGCUCUCAGUGAGGUCCAGAGAGUCAACCCUGCCAUGUUCUCACUGUUGCUACAUGAGGGGCAGUAUAGUUAGGAGAUCCCGUGUCUAAAAGUCCUUCUUCUUUGCAGCAAUUCUCCUCUGCCAUCAUCUGACCUUGAACCCAAGGAUGUGUCUGCUGUAGUCUCUCACCUUGAGUUAUACUUGGAUUAUCUGAUAAUUUUGAACAAGAAAGAAAGAGAUCAGGACUUGACGCACCCCAGAUUUUAACAUAAAAUUAAGCUAGAACAUAUCAAUAUUCUAUUGUACAGGAAAUACAGUAUAAAGAUACGGAUGCCUCUCGGAAGAGAAAAAGAUUGUCCACAUAUGUGCACAGAGCAGUAAGAUAAAUUCUGAGUCAUAUACUGAGGGAGCCAAAUGGAACAGCGAUUGCAACGUUUCUGAGUCGACAGUCGAUAUUAACUUAUCUUAUUAGCUGUGUUCUUAUCACUGGCCUCAUGAGUUGAGCUGAGCGAUGCACUGAGAAACUUCCUGGGAGCAAUGAGGAUAUUCAGAAUUUAACCCUACUUCCUUCCUCCUUCGCUGGUUAUUUGGGGUUUUAUUCUUUUUCCCAAACUUCAUGCUUCCUCCUUAACGUGCCACCCUGCCGCUACAGUAGUCCAACGCCUGUGACCUGGAUCAUUUAGGUCUAUCCUUUUCAUGUUCUUACUAGAGUCAGAGUCUGCACAGAAACUGAGGAGAACAGUGAACUGGAGGGGAAGCUGGGCAUUUCUCGCUCCCCUGGUAAUUAGCUCUGGUGACACUGAUAUUGGUGACCUCCCUCUCAACUAAAGAGCACGUGAGAAGCUCUUUUCCCACAGUCCCAGCACCCUCGCCAUCUUAUCUCCACCUUUUGCUCCCUCUGACUGAAUGGUAAAAUGGUGGGGGUGUGUGUGUGUGUGUGUGUGUGUGUGUGUGUGUGUGUGCAUGUGUGUGUGUGUGUAUUAGACAGUAGUACCUGCAUUUUCUGGCACCAUAUCCUGAGUCCCUGAAUCCCACUCCCUGCCCAAAUACAGCUUCCUUACUGAGUUAUUUUCUAUGACCAUAUGUGCAUUCCUCCUCUGCUCAGAAAUAUACCAGGAACUGGAGGAGCGGGUGGAGUCCUGCUGCAGCUCACACAUGGUCUCUCAACCUGUUACUUAUAUAAACUAUGAGUCACACAAUUAGGAAGACUGUUGCACUUGCUUUGGCUUCUGUCAUGAUUCAAACUUUUAAUGUUCUGACUCACUUGUCUUCUACUGUGAUUCCAAAUUCUAAUGCUAUGCAAUUCUAUAAAUUCUUGACUCAUCCACAUCUACUCUGUAGCUUUCAUGGACUUUCAUAACCUGCAUUACAAACCGUGGUGUAUCUAAAUCAGUAUGUCUUCUCUUCAUUGUUCUUUUCUUCUGAUAGUGACAAAUUCUAUUCUCUUUUUUGAAUUUCAGGAAGUGAAU